rnacentral:tRNA from 4 species
GCGACCGUAGCUCAAUUGGUUAGAGCGCCGGUUUGUGGUACCGGAGGUUGCGGGUUCAAUCCCCGUCGGUCGCCCCA